CAGCCGCCACGGGAAUACGGAGGGCGCGAGCGUUACCCGGAUUUACUGGGCGUAAAGGGCGUGUAGGCGGCCUGGGGCGUCCCAUGUGAAAGGCCACGGCUCAACCGUGGAGGAGCGUGGGAUACGCUCAGGCUAGAGGGUGGGAGAGGGUGGUGGAAUUCCCGGAGUAGCGGUGAAAUGCGCAGAUACCGGGAGGAACGCCGAUGGCGAAGGCAGCCACCUGGUCCACUUCUGACGCUGAGGCGCGAAAGCGUGGGGAGCAAACCGGAUUAGAUACCCCUGUAGUCCCUGUCUCUUAUAC
rnacentral:rRNA from 1 species